UACGUAGGAGGCGAGCGUUGUCCGGAGUUACUGGGCGUAAAGGGCCUGUAGGCGGUCGAUGGCGUCUGCGGUGACAGCUCCCGGCUCAACUGGGAGAGGGCUGAACAGAUACGCACCGACUUGAGGGCUGGAGAGGGAAGGGGAAUUCCGCGUGGAGCGGUGAAAUGCGUAGAGAUGCGGAAGAACACCGAAGGCGAAGGCACCUUCCUGGGCAGUACCUGACGCUGAGGGGCGAAAGCCAGGGG
rnacentral:rRNA from 1 species